AGGAGGGGGGGGGGGGGGGGGGGGGGGGGGGGGGGGGUGUUGAAGGGGCAUGUGAAUAUUCUUUUACACCUGACCUGUUUCUAAGACAUCUUAUUUAUUUCCUAUGGCAAAGUGCAAGCAAAUAAUAUAUAUCUGUAUAUACAUUGUUCUGUCUUGGGACCAUUUGAUUAAAAGAGCAAGGGGGAGGGUUAGAAUGGUCAAAAUAUUUAAGUCCUUGUCAGCUUAGGACAGAAUUUUAAUUUUCAAGCUAUUAACCAGGGUACAAUAUAUAUUUAUUUUCUGCUUAAAAAAUCAAUUUAUAUACCAGAAUCAUGAUAAUAAUCAAAAUCUAUUUCAACAUAUUCAACGUUUAGCAGGUCAGGUUUUUAUUCUCUUCCCCUAAGUUAUAUUUUCAGUUCUUACUGGAAGUUGUUCAGCUCUUUGUCUACUAAAAAAACUUUUAUCUCGUGGAAAAGCCUCCUACAAAUACAUGUUUUACAUACAACAUACUGUACAUGUAACACUAGACAACUUUAUCCAGAGAAUAAUAUUUUUUUAAUGAACUAAUAGGCCAUGGAGACUAAAAAAAUCAAAAGCAUUGCAAACUUUUGUAAAGUUCAAUUUUAGGACCCUACAUGUACAUGUAUGUAGAUUACUUAUAGAGCCCUUUUUAAAAGAAAAAACAUACAUUUAAACUACAUGCACAGUGAUGCUACACUACCCUACAUUUCCUGUCUGAUAUAUUUUAUUUCAUGUAAAACAAAAUUGAAGAAUUAUUUUAUAGUUUAACACUUUUUAUUUGUAGGGCUAUAUAUAUGCAAGCAAUGCUCAAUUAAGAUGAAUUUUUGUAAAAGUGACAAUAGCCAGGUCAAACUAAAUACAUGUAUAGAAGAAGAUAUUGAUCUAGACUCGCAGCUAACCUUUCUGUCAGUGUCAACAACAACUGAACUUUCACAGCAGUCAACAUCAGAUUGGGAGACUGAUAAUGCUUCUAACAGAAACAAUUUCAACCAACCAAACAAGCAACAGAAACUUUCUAACUUUAAAACAUCAGUUAAAUCUUCCAUGGGAUUAUGUCUCAAAAAAUAACAGUUCAUCAUUUAUGGAGAUUUUAAUGUUGUGGUUUUUCUUUUACAAGAAAGUUAAUGUACACUUAUUUUAUAGUAAAACCUAUAGCCGUUCAAGUAUAAAAAAACACAUUCAACUUUAUUGAAAUUUGAAGAUUCAUAUGACUUAUUUUAAUUCUGUUAUCUCCGAGGAUGCGAUGUAGAGCAUUAUAGGUACAGUAAUCUUAACAGCUAUCCAAUUUCAUUCAAAAUUCUUUAUAAAUUUUGCACUGGUAUAUAUAGACUAAGUAAUUUGUUUUUCGUCUAGUUGUGGGAUUUUUUUUUAGAAGCAUUUAUGAUUUUCAUGUUUGUAUUGACCACAUUGCAGCAACAUAGAUAUAGGUACCUGGCAAAUCUUGCCUUGUUAGCAUACUAGUCUCAAAGGGUCAUAAAAAAAUUUCCAUCACUAAGUGUCUGUUAAAAUCAUCUGUUUACAGUUUUCACUUUUAAACCAUCAUCUUAAUAACUUUAGAAGAAGUGUCAUACAUAUAUAUAUGUAUACAAAAUUUAAAAACUUUUCAAUAUAUAUAUAUUGAUAAAAACUAUCAACAUGACAAGAUCUAAAUACCCAAAAUUUUUCUGAAAAAUUGGACAUAACAUCUAUGAGCUAUUGUCCCUGAAAUGUGUAAAUUUACAAAUUUUCACAGUUUUCUGCUACUAUCCGACAACUAUAUCAAUAUAUUAUAAGAAUAAAUUGCAAAAGUGGUCAGUAGAAACUUUUUUUUUACAGUCUGAACUUAUUCUGAAUUGUUUAACUUCUAAUUUAAAUUGAUUGCGUUUGAAAUAUGUGUUUUUUAUUGUUUUAGGUGCACAAUUUGUCAAUAUGAUCUAUUUUGGCUCCUGGGAGCCUCUAGAUUUAUAAUGAAUAAUUUGUAUUUAUGUAUGAUUAUUUUCUUAAUGUAUUAAAUGAAACAUUAAUUAUUCUU